GCUCUUGUAGAUCAGUUGGUUAGAGCACCUGUUUAGUAAGCGGGAUGUCUUGAUUUCAAUUAUAAACAAGAGCA
rnacentral:tRNA from 1 species